rnacentral:tRNA from 1 species
GGCUCCGGGGUGUUACAUGUAAGAUUGCAAAUCUUAAGAUGCAGACUAACGUCUGCCGGGGCUU